CACGAACCGUACGAACGUUAUUCGGAAUCACUGGGCGUAAAGCGCACGUAGGCGGCGUCUUAAGUCAGGGGUGAAAUCCUGGAGCUCAACUCCAGAACUGCCUUUGAUACUGGGAUGCUUGAGUCCGGGAGAGGUGAGUGGAACUGCGAGUGUAGAGGUGAAAUUCGUAGAUAUUCGCAAGAACACCAGUGGCGAAGGCGGCUCACUGGCCCGGUACUGACGCUGAGGUGCGAAAGCGUGGGGAGCAAACAGG
rnacentral:rRNA from 1 species